rnacentral:rRNA from 1 species
AGAUUGAACGCUGGCGGCAUGCCUAACACAUGCAAGUCGAGCGGCAGCGGCGGGGGCGACCCUGGCGGCGAGCGGCGGACGGGUGAGUAAGGCAUCGGAAUCUGCCCUGAUGGUGGGGGAUAACGGUAAGGGAAACUUACGCUAAUACCGCAUACGACCGAGAGGUGAAAGGCGGGGGACCGAAAGGCCUCGCGCAGCAGGAUGAGCCGAUGUCCGAUUAGCUGGUUGGUAGGGGUAAAGGCCUACCAAGGCGACGAUCGGUAGCUGGUCUGAGAGGAUGAUCAGCCACACUGGGACUGAGACACGGCCCAGACCUCCUACGGGAGCAGC